rnacentral:tRNA from 1 species
GUGGGUAUAGCUCAGUGGUAGAGAGCAUGCUUAGCAUGCAUGAGGUCUUGGGUUCAAUUCCCAGUACUUCCA